AGAACCACAUAGCUCAGCGGCAGGACAUCUGCCUGGCAUGCAGAAGGUCUGAGGUUCAUUCCCCAGUGGCAUCUCCA